rnacentral:rRNA from 1 species
GACGAACGCUGGCGGCGUGCUUAACACAUGCAAGUCGAACGGAAAGGCCCUGCUUUUGUGGGGUGCUCGAGUGGCGAACGGGUGAGUAACACGUGAGUAACCUGCCCUUGACUCUGGGAUAACUUCAGGAAACUGGGGCUAAUACCGGAUAGGAGCUCCUGCUGCAUGGUGGGGGUUGGAAAGUUUCGGCGGUUGGGGAUGGACUCGCGGCUUAUCAGCUUGUUGGUGGGGUAGUGGCUUACCAAGGCUUUGACGGGUAGCCGGCCUAAGAGGGUGACCGGCCACAUUGGGACUGAGAUACGGCCCAGACUCCUACGGGAGGCAGCAGUGGGGAAUAUUGCACAAUGGGCGGAAGCCUGAUGCAGCAACGCCGCGUGCGGGAUGAUGGCCUUCGGGUUGUAAACCGCUUUCGCCUGUGACGAAGCGUGAGUGACGGUAAUGGGUAAAGAAGCACCGGCUAACUACGUG